rnacentral:rRNA from 1 species
CGCCGAAAGGCGAGCUAAUACCGGAUAAUAUCUUUAAAACUUCGGUUUUAAAGAUCAAAGGUGGUCUCUACAUGUAAGCUACUGUUUGGAGAUGAGCCCGCGUACCAUUAGCUUGUUGGUAGGGUAAUGGCCUACCAAGGCUUCGAUGGUUAGCUGGUCUGAGAGGAUGAUCAGCCACACUGGAACUGACACACGGUCCAGACUCCUACGGGAGGCAGCAGUGAGGAAUUUUGCGCAAUGGGGGAAACCCUGACGCAGCAACGCCGCGUGAGUGAUGAAGGCUUUCGGCUCGUAAAGCUCUGUCAAGUGGGAAGAACAUACUUGAUGCUAAUACCAUCUUGUACUGACGGUACCACUGAAGGAAGCACCGUUUAACUGACGCCCAGCAGCCGACGGUAAU